GACGUAGGUGGCGAACGUUAUCCGGAAUCAUUGGGCGUAAAGGGUGCGUAGAUGGCAUGAUAAGUUAUUAGUGGGAAAUCGAGGCUCAACCUCGUGGAAGCUGGUAAUACUGUUUUGCUUGAGUGCAGGAGAGGUUAACGGAACCCCAUGUGGAGCGGUAAAAUGCGUAGAUAUAUGGAAGAACAUCAAUAACGGCGAAGGCAGUUAACUAUUCUGCUACUGACAUUGAGGCACGAAAGCGUGGGGAGCAAAACGG
rnacentral:rRNA from 1 species